rnacentral:lncRNA from 12 species
GGGCAAAUGAAUGACAUGGAUGAGUUUCAUUUUGAGCAGCUCUGGCAAAAUCCCCAGCCAAUGCAACCUGGCCUAUCUCCAUGAAAGUCAAUGGACACCAGCUGAGAAUUUGGCUCUCUCAGCAGCUUUGGCUGCAUGUGCAAAUUCAUCGACCCAGUGGAG